GACGAACGCUGGCGGCGUGCUUAACACAUGCAAGUCGAGCGGAGCGGCGAACGGGUGAGUAAAGCGUGAGUAACUUCCCCCCUCUCUGGGGUAACAGUUGGAAACGGCUUCUAAAACCGGAUAGUGGGGGAUGACUCGCGUCCUAUCAGCUUGUUGGUGGGGUAGGGGCCUACCAAGGCGACAACGGGUAGCCGGCCUGAGAGGGCGACCGGCCACAUGGGGCUGUGAUAUGGCACGAACCCCUACGGGAGGCAGCAGUGGGGAAUAGUGCACAAUGGGGGAAAUCCUGAUGCAGCAACGCCGCGUGCUAGAUGACUGCCUUCGGGUUGUAAUCAGCUUUCAGCCUUGACGAGGGAGUGUCAGAAGAAGCACGGGCUAACUUCGUGCCAGCCGCCGCGGUAAUAC
rnacentral:rRNA from 1 species